rnacentral:rRNA from 1 species
AUUGAACGCUGGCGGCAUGCCUUACACAUGCAAGUCGAACGGCAGCACGGGAGCAAUCCUGGCGGCGAGUGGCGAACGGGUGAGUAAUAUAUCGGAACGUGCCCAGUAAUGGGGGAUAGCCCGGCGAAAGCCGGAUUAAUACCGCAUACGACCUACGGGUGAAAGCAGGGGAGCGCAAGACCUUGCGUUAUUGGAGCGGCCGAUAUCAGAUUAGCUAGUUGGUGGGGUAAAAGCCUACCAAGGCGACGAUCUGUAGCUGGUCUGAGAGGACGACCACCCACACUGGGACUGGUACACUGCCCAGAGUCCUACGGGAGGCAGCAGGGGGGAAUUUUGGACAAUGGGCGCAAGCCUGAGCCAGCCAUGCCGCGUGUGGGAAGAAGGCCUUCGGGUUGUAAACCACUUUUGUCAGGGAAGAAACGCUCUGGGCUAAUACCCUGGGGUAAUGACGGUACCUGAAGAAUAAGCACCGGCUAACUACGUGCCAGCCGCCGCGGUAAGAC